rnacentral:hammerhead_ribozyme from 1 species
AUCUAGCUGACGAGUCCCAAAUAAGACAAAGUGGCGCGCUUCCUGGAU